rnacentral:lncRNA from 1 species
GGGUUGCUUCUCGGUUCUCGUGUUGAAUUGCCAUGGCUUUUUCACUACUACUGCAGUGUCCUCCGAAGGCUUCACAUCAUCUGCAUUAGUUUGUUGAGGUUCCUCACUGGGCUGCUGUAGCACAGCUGCAUUAGUUUGUUGAGGUUCCUCACUGGGCUGCUGUAGCACAGCUGCACUGGUUUGUAGAGGUUCCUCACUGGGCUGCUGUAGCACAGCUGCACUGGUUUGUAGAGGUUCCUCACUGGGCUGCUGUAGAACAGUGACCACUGUACUGGUUUCCACUGGUUUCAUAUCAACCUCACUGCUCUGCAGAGAUUUCUCACUGGC